rnacentral:lncRNA from 1 species
CUGCUAGUAGUCUGAUGUUAUUUACGUAUUAUUGUCAUUUUGUUUAUUUUCUUUGGUUACAUCUUCUGACAUCAGACUCGGACUUCUCUUGAACUGAAUUUUAAUGUGCGUAUUGUUAUGCGUUUACUUUUCUGCAUUGGCUAGAGGUAUAGGGGGAGGGUUGAGAUAUCACAAACAUGUUUAACCCCGCCGCAUUUUUGCGCUUGUCCCAAGUCAGGAG